GUGGUUUUAGAGGUGGAAGAGGAGGUGGAGGUGGGGGCUUCCGAGGAGGAAGAGGGGGUGGUGGUUUCAGAGGGAGAGGACAUUAAGUGAAAUAGUUGACAGACAUCACCAGUUGACUUCUGCAUAAACCUGCAUGAUCUGUUUCUACUGUGGAUUGGAAACUUGUUUCUUGAGCAAGUCUUGAAGAUCUUGGUUGUUUUAUGACAAUGGAUCUAAAAUGUCAGCAUUACACCAAGUGCAACGGAAUAGUGGAUUUUGCUCUAAAAGAGCAUGAACAAAUCUUUUUAAUGUUUUGUAUAGUGCCUGGCACUCUGUGGGUGCUUAAUAAAUGGACAGGAGUUUUCAUUUGAAGCAUAUUUGAAUUUUUAAAAUAAAGUGUUUAUUCCCUGA